CGAGCCGGCCGGGCGGUCGCGGCGGGAUCCCUGAUCCCGCCGAGGAACGUCCGGGCUCCACAGGGCAGGGUGGUAGGUAACGCCUACCUGGGGCGACCCACGGGAAAGUGCCACAGAAAGCAAACCGCCGGGGCCGCGCGAGCGGCACCCGGUAAGGGUGAAACGGUGGUGUAAGAGACCACCAGCGCCCAGGGCGACCUGGGCGGCUCGGUAAACCCCACCCGGAGCAAGGUCAAGAGGGAGCACUGCGUGCUCCUGCGCGGACGACCGAGGGCUGCUCGCCCGAGUCCGCGGGUAGACCGCUUGAGGCCGGUGGCGACACCGGUCCCAGAUGGAUGACCGCCUCCCCGCCGGCCGCGAGGCCGACGGGAGACAGAACCCGGCGUACAGGCCGACUCGUCCG
rnacentral:RNase_P_RNA from 1 species